rnacentral:rRNA from 1 species
GAUGAACGCUGGCGGCGUGCCUAAUACAUGCAAGUAGAACGCUGAAGGAAGGAGCUUGCUCUUUCCGGAUGAGUUGCGAACGGGUGAGUAACGCGUAGGUAACCUGCCUGGUAGCGGGGGAUAACUAUUGGAAACGAUAGCUAAUACCGCAUAACAGUAGAUGUUGCAUGAUAUCUACUUAAAAGGUGCAAUUGCACCACUACCAGGUGGACCUGCGUUGUAUUAGCUAGUUGGUGAGGUAACGGCUCACCAAGGCGACGAUACAUAGCCGACCUGAGAGGGUGAUCGGCCACACUGGGACUGAGACACGGCCCAGACUCCUACGGGAGGCAGCAGUAGGGAAUCUUCGGCAAUGGACGGAAGUCUGACCGAGCAACGCCGCGUGAGUGAAGAAGGGUUUCGGAUCGUAAAGCUCUGUUGUAAGAGAAGAACGAGUGUGAGAGUGGAAAGUUCACACUGUGACGGUAUCUUACCAGAAAGGGACGGCUAACUACGUG